AUCAAAGAAAAAUUUAUCAGAUGCAAUGAAACAUGACUAUUGUCCCAGGAGUUCUGGGCUAUGGAGCACUAUGCCGAUCAGAUGUCUACACUAAAUUCAGCAUCAAUAUGGUGACCUCAUGGGAAGCUGGAGGACCACCAGUUUGUCUCAGGAGGUGUGAAAUGGUCCGGGUUGGAAAUGGAGCAGAACAAAACUCCCAUACUGAUAAGUAUUGGGAUUGUGCUUGUGGAUAGCAACUGCACUCAAAUCCAGGCAAUGUAGCAAGACCUCAUCCCU
rnacentral:SRP_RNA from 1 species